UGACCUCAAAUCAGGUAGGACUACCCGCUGAACUUAAGCAUAUCAAUAAGCGGAGGAAAAGAAACUAACAAGGAUUCCCCUAGUAACUGCGAGUGAAGCGGGAAAAGCUCAAAUUUAAAAUCUGGCAGCCUUUGGUUGUCCGAGUUGUAAUCUAGAGAAGUGUUAUCCGCGCUGGACCGUGUACAAGUCUCCUGGAAUGGAGCGUCAUAGAGGGUGAGAAUCCCGUCUUUGACACGGACUGCCAGGGCUUUGUGAUGCGCUCUCAAAGAGUCGAGUUGUUUGGGAAUGCAGCUCAAAAUGGGUGGUAAAUUCCAUCUAAAGCUAAAUAUUGGCGAGAGACCGAUAGCGAACAAGUACCGUGAGGGAAAGAUGAAAAGAACUUUGGAAAGAGAGUUAAACAGUACGUGAAAUUGCUGAAAGGGAAACGCUUGAAGUCAGUCGCGUUGUCCAGGGAUCAACCUUGCUUUUGCUUGGUGCACUUUCUGGUUGACGGGUCAGCAUCAAUUUUGACUAUUGGAAAAAGAUUAGGGGAAUGUGGCAUCUUUGGAUGUGUUAUAGCCCUUGGUUGCAUACAAUGGUUGGGAUUGAGGAACUCAGCACGCCGCAAGGCCGGGUUUUUAACCACGUACGUGCUUAGGAUG
rnacentral:rRNA from 1 species